CUACGGGGCGCAGCAGUGAGGAAUUUUGCGCAAUGGGGGAAACCCUGACGCAGCAACGCCGCGUGAGUGAGGAAGGCCUUAGGGUCGUAAAGCUCUGUCAGGUGGAAAGAAAUGUUCGUAGGUUAAUACCCUGCGUUCUUGACGGUACCACCAGAGGAAGCACCGGCAAACUCCGUGCCAGCAGCCGCGGUAAUACGGGGGGUGCAAGCGUUGUUCGGAAUUAUUGGGCGUAAAGAGCGUGUAGGCGGCUGAGUAAGUCAGAUGUGAAAGUCCUGGGCUUAACCCGGGAAGUGCAUUUGAAACUGCUUGGCUUGAGUAAGAGAGGGGAAAGUGGAAUUCCUGGUGUAGAGGUGAAAUUCGUAGAUAUCAGGAGGAACACCGGUGGCGAAGGCGGCUUUCUGGCUUUAUACUGACGCUGAGACGCGAAAGCGUGGGUAGCAAACGGGAUUAGAUACCCCAGUAGUC
rnacentral:rRNA from 1 species